GCAUCAAUGGGGUAGUGGUAACCUGGGUCGUUGCCAUCGACCCGCCGCGAGUUCAAUUCUCGCUUGAUGCA
rnacentral:tRNA from 1 species